rnacentral:rRNA from 1 species
UACGUAGGGUGCAAGCGUUUGUCCGGAAUUAUUGGGCGUAAAGAGCUCGUAGGCGGUCUGUCGCGUCUGCUGUGAAAACUCAGGGCUUAACCCCGAGCCUGCUUCCGAUACGGGCUGACUAGAGGUAUGCAGGGGAGAACGGAAUUCCUGGUGUAGCGGUGAAAUGCGCAGAUAUCAGGAGGAACGACCGGUGGCGAAGGCGGUUCUCUGGGCAUUACCUGACGCUGAGGAGCGAAAGUGUGGGGAGCGAACAGG